GAAACUUGCAAUCCUCCUGCCUUAGCCUGCUGAGUUGCUAAGAUUACAGGAAUCUGGCCUUUUGGCACGUGCUAAGCAGAGGGUGCCUCAUGUGACCAGCUCCCACCGGGAUUCUGGUGCAGAAACAUCACACACAUGUUGCCGCAUUUUUCAUCUCUAGGGGCAGAGUGAGCUCUUCACAGAAGACAGAAUAAGGAAACCUGUAUGUGGAUUCUUCCUGACUUUCCCUGUGUCUUUUCCCCUUAUGAUUUAGAUGUCUCUCCUUACUCUCUUGCUGUAAUAAAUCUUAGCCAUGAGCCCAAG